GAUGAACGCUGGCGGCGUGCCUAAUGCAUGCAAGUCGAACGCGAGAGGAGGGAGCUUGCUCCCUCUGAUCGAGUUGCGGACGGGUGAGUAACACGUAGGCAACCUGCCCAUCAGUCCGGGAUAACCGCGGGAAACCGUGGCUAAUACCGGAUAGGAUCAUUAACCGCCUGGUUGGUGAGGGAAAGUCUGAACGACACUAUCGGAUGGGCCCGCGGCUCAUUAGCUAGUUGGGGGGGUAACGGCCUACCAAGGCGACGAUGCGUAGGCGAACUGAGAGGGUGACCGGCCACACUGGGACUGAGACACGGCCCAGACUACUACGGGAGGCAGCAGGAGGGAAUCUUCCACAAUGGGCGAAAGCCUGAUGGAGCAACGCCGCGUGAGUGAUGAAGGUUUUCGGAUCGUAAAACUCUGUUGUUAGGGAAGAACGCCCGGGAGAGGAUCCCGGUUUGACGGUACCUGACGAGAAAGCCCCGGCUAACUACGUGCCAGCCGCCGCAGUAA
rnacentral:rRNA from 1 species